ACAAGAUUAUAAUGUAAUGCUGUUUUAUAAUGUGCUUUUCUCAUUAAGCAAUUAUCAUAAAUAUCAUUCAGGUCAAUUAAUGAACUUAAUGUUCGCAUAGUAUUCCACCUAUGGCUGUACCAUAGUUAGGCAUUUCACAAUUGUUAGAUGGCUACUUUGGUUCCAAUUUUUCAUUAUUCUUCACUUCACUGUGAAGAAUUUCAUCAUUACUACAUUUUUACCAAAAAAUGAUGACAAUUUCCUUGUACAAAUUCUUGAAAAUGGAAUUGCUAGGACAAAGGGUCUACAAAAUGUUCAGGCCUUUGAUAUCUGUUGGUAAGAUACAACUUUUAACAGGUAUAUAGUAAUGAAUAAUUCUAUGUUGACUUUUUUUCCUUUCCCUCAUAUAGGACCCAUUAAUCUUCUCACUGGCUCUACCCAUCCUCUACCCUUUUCUAACUGGAAAAUUCCAAGCCUAAUCUUUCCUCACCCCCAUUUCAGUCAUUCAACAACAUUCAACAAGUAUGUGUUGAACACCUACAAAAUUCCAAGGUCUGGAGAUCCACUGAUGAACAAAACAGAGCCUUAUGCUUGCAGAACUUGUGUUCUAGUGGGAAGAUACAGAUAAUAAAUAUAACAGGGACCUGACUGAUAGAUUGGAUGCCGAUUGUGAAUGAAAGUGGAGUUAAGGAUGGCUUCUUUGGCUGCAAGACCCAGGGCUCACCAGGUCCUCCCCUUCUAUACAACUUUGUGCCCCAAACCUGGCCAAGGCGACUUUGGGAGCUUCGUUCCCCUUGGCAGUACCCGAACUGCGUAGAGCUUCUAAGGAGUAGAAGCCCAUCCCCUUGACCAAGAAGAUCUGCUUAGCGGGAGAUGGAGGAAAGUUGCAAGGAGAGCCAGACGGUAAUUCAGUCUCUAUUUAUCACAGAAUUCAUGUCAAAUACUUACUGACCUGCCUGAAAAUGUGUCUUGGUGUUAAGCAGAUUCUCCUUUUAAAUUUUCAAGAAAAAACUAUUAUAUAAAAUGGUGGUUAAGAG